CUCUUAUUAUAAAACGCGGUAUCAAAUAAGUAUCGGCUUUUGUACUACCUUUAAUCCACCUUUAAGUACGACCUUGAAAAAACGUUAUUACAAAACGCAGUUUAUCGCAAGUCCUAUUACUAUCUGUAGUACAAAAGAUAAACCAUCGAGCCCCCUAGUUUAACUGCAGUACUUAGUCGACAAACGUCAAAUUCCGACAUUAUUUACUUUUGAGGUUAUUUGUUUUGUGAUGAAAAAAACGAAAGUGGAUAUAAAUAUGUGUGAUUUGGAAUACUUGGAUGUGUUAGAAUACUAUUUAGAGUGUCCGGGGACCCAACAGAAUGCGUCAUCGACAAAAUCUCUUCAAAUUACCUGACGACAAUUUUCGAUAUAAAUAUCGAUUUACGUUUUUCGAAAUAAUAGUCAAUUGAAUGCAUGAUGAUAAUCCAGGAUGAUCCUAUGAUGCUCAACUGGGCUCGCCAUAAAAUUCAAGACUAUUUUGGCGUUUUGCACGCCGUAUCUCUGCCAGUAAUAUGCAAUGUUUGGAAAAGACUGGAAGCUUGCUAAAAUGUACAAAAAUGCCUAAAUGAGAAAGGGAACAAGAUUGUGUGAUGAAGAACAGUGUCCAACAUGUAUCAGUGCAUUUGACUGUAUAAAUAGACAUCGGAAUAAAAUAUAAUUUUCUACUUU